rnacentral:rRNA from 1 species
UACGUAGGGUGCAAGCGUUGUCCGGAAUUAUUGGGCGUAAAGAGCUCGUAGGCGGUUUGUCGCGUCUGCUGUGAAAACCCGGGGCUUAACUCCGGGCCUGCAGUGGGUACGGGCAGACUAGAGUGCGGUAGGGGAGACUGGAAUUCCUGGUGUAGCGGUGAAAUGCGCAGAUAUCAGGAGGAACACCGGUGGCGAAGGCGGGUCUCUGGGCCGUAACUGACGCUGAGGAGCGAAAGCGUGGGGAGCGAACAGG